GUUCUCCUCUGCAAGGGAAAACAAAACAGAUUAGAAAACAUAAACAUUUGAUCUGACCGAAACAACAAGAGUAUAUCGUCCAGUUGUUGGAUACACUGUCCGCUAUCCUGCUGGAGAAUCAAAAAGCCCACACGUCGUGUGAUAUGAUGUUUAAUUCAAACCUACACAAGAGUUAAAACAUCAGGGGGUCUCCAGCCAGACGGUAGAGUUUCCCCAGCAGUCAGCAGCUGGAAUACAUCCUGUGAGCAAGUGAUCGACAUGAACAGCUGGUUUCUCAAAGAGGUCCCAUUAAACGGAGUAACAAAUGCCUGGACAUGAUCUGUCUUCAUAGAAAACAAGCAUGAGGUGGAAGUCAUGUCUUGUUCUCGGCAUGUUGGAUAUUUUAAAGUACACUUAGAAACCGGUGUGACCAGGGUUCAUGUCCUGCCUGACAAGAACAUGAGAUAUGUGAGCGUGAAGCACGUGACCCGGUGCAGGAUGAACUGCAGAAAUGGACUUGAGGUAAUGGCACCAAUUCAGACCGUCCAAAAACUUAAUGCUCGAAUGGUUUUACAAUAGUUCUUGGUCAUAAUUCAUCCAUAUGGGUAAGCUCUACUUCUAUCAUGCUCUCAUUUGAGCCCAUCUGGGAGAAUUUAGCUCUAAGUUACUGUGAAAUAGCACAUU